rnacentral:rRNA from 1 species
AGAGUUUGAUCAUGGCUCAGAUUGAACGCUGGCGGCAGGCCUAACACAUGCAAGUCGAGCGGUAACAGAAAGUAGCUUGCUACUUUGCUGACGAGCGGCGGACGGGUGAGUAAUGCUUGGGAACAUGCCUUGAGGUGGGGGACAACAGUUGGAAACGACUGCUAAUACCGCAUAAUGUCUACGGACCAAAGGGGGCUUCGGCUCUCGCCUUUAGAUUGGCCCAAGUGGGAUUAGCUAGUUGGUGAGGUAAUGGCUCACCAAGGCAACGAUCCCUAGCUGGUUUGAGAGGAUGAUCAGCCACACUGGAACUGAGACACGGUCCAGACUCCUACGGGAGGCAGCAGUGGGGAAUAUUGCACAAUGGGCGAAAGCCUGAUGCAGCCAUGCCGCGUGUGUGAAGAAGGCCUUCGGGUUGUAAAGCACUUUCAGUCAGGAGGAAAGGGUGNGAGUUAAU